rnacentral:rRNA from 1 species
UGAGUAACACGUAUCCAACCUGCCGUCUACUCUUGGACAGCCUCUGAAAGGAAGAUUAAUACAAGAUGGCAUCAUGAGUUCACAUGUUCACAUGAUUAAAGGUAUUCCGGUAGACGAUGGGGAUGCGUUCCAUUAGAUAGUAGGCGGGGUAACGGCCCACCUAGUCUUCGAUGGAUAGGGGUUCUGAGAGGAAGGUCCCCCACAUUGGAACUGAGACGCGGUCCAA